GGACCGGGCAGAAGAACCAAGCACACUCGGCCCCCCGGUGAUGAUGUCGCUAUUGUCAAUCGGGUGUUUUGAGAAAGCAGGAAGUUACUCGUGCACACUGUUAAACAAACCUGAAUGUAUCACCAACAAGCAGAGGUCAGGAAUAUCUUCUCGCCAUGAUGACUGUUAUCGAUGUGCGUUCUUGUGAGAUUGGAGUGACGUGACCUUUUGUGUUUUGUUUCUUUCCACCUUGACCUGGAACUGAUGGAAGGAUAGUUGACGCAUUUUAAGUUACAGGUCAUGUAAUCAGUUACUGGGGUUGUCCACAUUUUGCAUUAGGUAGACAACCAAUUUAAGGUUAUGUUUCCUGUGUGGUCAGUUUGAGCAGUGGUGUUGACAUGCCAAUAACAUACCAUCCCCAAUUCUAAAUGCCUUGACCAAGUGCCGAUACCUUAGUUAUUCUUUAGCUCAGAUAUUAGUUUGCUUUUUACUACAUCUGAUCCAUGUCAAGGAAUUGAACCCCACAACCAGCGGACCUGCAGUAACCCAUCAUGACCCUAACGAGACGGAGAAGAUGUUGUUUCUUUAGUUCCGUCACACGUUGUUGGUGUUGUACCAGUGUUCACAGACUGUAAAAGGACCUCAGUCUAAAACGUACUCCAUUGAACACUGUUACAAAACCACGCUUCCACUCCAGCUGUGCUCUUAAAGGUCAUUAGUGGCCGCUGAAGGGUCUUCACCCCUUCAAGAUGUGGGAAAAGAAUACCUCACGUUGAUAUUCCCGAGUACAACCAUCAAACUAGUGAUACCAUCAACUAAAUACGCUUGGAAACGUUUGGCAGCACGUCAUCUGUCCCAUGUUAAUCCUAGAGUAAUUGUGUAGAACACGUGUGUUGACACAAGCAGGAAACGGCCUCUAGAUUCCAUUUCUUACAUCGUGCAGAGACCCUAAUGAAGCUUUCCAGAGCUGUUACUAAAAUGUACAGUAUGAGCUCUUGAACAAAUCGGAGGAAAGUAUAUCUAUUAGGCAUGCAGUUAAUGCUAGUAGUAUAAAUCAAUAAGUAUUAGAGGAUGCGGUUUCUUUCAUCCUGUGUAUUUUAUAGGGCGCUUACAGUAAUACACUGUAAUAAGUCAUUAAUGCUUACGAUCAACAAUAUAUUAUAAAUCUUAUUUAUUGACAACGGCCGGCUCCUCAAAUUAAACCCCAAACAAUAUAUUUCAUAAGUCAUACUAAUUCUAAUAAAUUGGCAUGUUGAUUCUUCAAAAUAUGGAAUAUGUUGUUUCAC
ensembl:lncRNA